UUGAACCGGUUGGAUCAGUGAAUCAGUAAUUAAAGCGGUUCGAUGACCGGUCCGGUUUUCAGAACCUUGCCAACGACUCACCAACUCUGAGCUCCGAAGAAUUCGCAUUUUCCAACACCAUACAGCCACCAUGGAUGUUGAUUCACAGCCAACUAUGGAAGAAACGAUUCUGGUGGGCGAUGACCUGAUGAUAGGUCCACCGUCACCUGUUGUGCCACCUGAAAUUGCAUCCCAUGUUCUCCGCGGUGUUGAUUUGUGUGAUGGAAUCCUUAAGAACCUGUUUUUAUGCUUGCAAAUCAAUGACAUUGAACCAUUCUGCCAGGAUGAGCUUGCUCUUUAUAAACAAUGUGCUGAAAGAAGGGACAAGGAGAUUAGGAAUCGUCUUCAAGAAAGUGAGCGGAAAUUGGGUUCAUCAAUGCCUUUUGAAGAAGCCAAGGAGAGAGUUACCCAGCUUGAGAAAGAAGUUACGUCAUUGGAUAGGCACCUCAUUCUUGCUACUGGAGUUGAAGGCAUGGAAGGUUUUCGACAAAGAUGGAGUUUACAUGGCCGCCUAACUGAUACCAAGAAAAGGUUGGAGUCCUUAAAGCAGGGCAUAGAUAGCAGAAAAUGAGGAUGAGUCCAACAACAGAAAUUUGGUUCCUAGGUGAAGGUUGAACCUGCGUCAGGGGGGCACCUUGUUAUAUGCACCCAUCCAAAUCUUUUAGAAAUAUGAGACCAUGGCUUCCAAGACUUCUUCUAUGAAGUAUCUGCGUCAAACUAAGAAGACCGUUGUGGUCCGAAGUCUCCAAGGUCAAGAAACCGGUGGCGCCUUCGGAAUUCUUCCCCACAGAAAACAGAUUCUGGUCCUGCUGCUUAGAAGAAGCUCAUCCUUAAUCCUUCUAUUCGCCUGAUUCUCUCCGACCCGACGUUGGAAAGCUUGGGUACCCUGUCUUCCUCAUCACCUUCAGGGCCUCCUCCCAAAAAACAGAAAAUUACUAGGGAGUCGAGUAUUAAUGAUAAGGAUUUUGACGGGUUUGCUUAGAGCGAGA